GGGACAUGAAAACAGGAGGCAGGUGGGCGACGCGCCAGGGUGGCCAGUCAGCUCAGCCUGUGCCCCGGGAGCCUCCCUGCGGCAUGGCCGCUGGCACAGCUGUGUGCAGGGCCAGGCACCUCGGUGAGCUCCUUCCUGAGGCAGCCACAGUGGCCAGACAGGUAGAGGCAGGGAAGUGGGCCACAUCCCAGUCUUGUGGCUUCCGAGCAGGGCCAGGCCAGUUCAAUGCGCCCCAGGCCCUCAGGCACCUCACCACGUCCUAGGCUCUGUGUGGGCCAGGAGAGCCCAAGCGCUUCACCACCCACAGGAUGGAAGCCAGUCACACCCUGACACAGGCAGAAGGCAGCCAGUGACCUCAGCCCCAGCCCUGUUGCCCAGAGGGCCACGUCUCCACAAGCGCUUUGCCUGCGGUGAGGCCACAUGAAGACCAUGGGGAAACUCUCCACUUGCUGCAAGUCUGGCUCUGGGGAGGAACCUUGCAGCAGUGCGCAAAGGCCCAAGCCUGCUACACAGGACCAGGAGGACGCACGAAGGAGCAGCAGUCUCUGCCUGGGAGCCCACGGGGCUGUGCAGAUCAGAGGAAAGGGGACUAUUUGCCCUGACUGGGCGGGGCUUUCUUCUGUCUGUCCGAGGAGGAAGAGGCCUAGCACCCCUCCCUCACGGGCAGAGGUCCUGACUUGGGGCCCUCCCGGGUGGUACUGUUGCCUCUGGGGCAUUCACCCACGGCCGACACACAAGGCUUCCUGCCAGAGGCGUCAGGAGCAGAGGAAGCCAGAGCCCUCUGCUCAGAACAGCACUGAGGCCUGAGCACAGCCCUCACCUGCGAGGCACAGGGCCCGGCGAUGUGUCCUCCAUGCGGUCAUGGCACCUGAAAGGCCUACUCUCAGCGACAGCUCCCCAACUCCCUUCAGCCUGGAGGCAGGGGCCCUUGGGAUCCAUGAGUCCUCCUGAAGGGGGUGAGAGGCCUCCUGAGGCCUCCCUCAAAUGACAGGAGUGAAGGGUGACCCUACUGUAAUAAAUGGAACGGGCAGCCUCCAUCAGUACCCAUGGACUGCCCGAGUUCUAGGACACAGCAUGGCCAGGCACAGGAGACUCACACAACUGCCAGAGCCCACAGGAGAGGGCUGCGGGCACAAGGCAGGCCCGGGAAAACCCAGAUGUGCAGACACACUGAACAGGCCUGAGCCUGGGGCGUAAGCUUGGCCCCACCCCCUACGCUGCCACCCUGGGCCUUUCCCAGGAGGAGAGCAAACUGUCUACGGUGACUCAGGGCUGCCAGUUUGGGACCCGAGAGUAAAGCCUCUGCAUCCUGGGUUCAGGUAAAGCUCAGCAUGAUGCCAGCUCGCUGCACGCUUCCCCCAAAUCCUGUGCACAUAGGAUGGGUUCCCAGGCAGCCUUUCUAUUACUCCUCAGAGGGUCACAGGCAGACAGAGACCCCGAGGAAUGGGAGGAAGUCCAAGAGAAAGGCCAUGAUCUAUAAACACUGAUUCCAAGAGACAAAAUGCUAGACCAUAAAAUAAUGAAUAGUGUAUUUUGUAAAGGAUGUACUCAGAGAGCUAGAAAGAAUGCUUGCAAACAACACAACUGCUGGUUCAUCCUUAGAGAGGAAGGAACUUCUGACACACACUACAGCAUGGAUGAACCUGGAAGACACUGGGCUAAGUGAGAAAAGCCAGAACAAAAGGACAAAUAUUUGAUUCCACUCACAUAAGAUUCCCAUAGUCAAAUGGAUAGACACAGAAAACGGAGGGCUGGUGUCCCCUGUGAAGGGCUUGGUGGCUGGCAAUGGCUGCAGAGGGGACCAUCUGGGGCCUGGCCCACAGAGGCCAUAGAAGGCGGCAGCCUGAGCCGCACCCCUUGUCACGCAUGUGCUGUGUGCCCCCUACCUGUCUGUCCUGCCACCUCCGUCCAGCAAGCACAUAUCAAAUUGGAGUGGCUACAGUUCAAGAGCUCAACAGCCACACAUUGCCAUGGUCACUGAACCGGACCAGGUGGUGCUGGGUGGGGAGACAGAAGGGCAAUCAAGGGGACUCCACAUGAAGGGGUGAAAGUAGGCCCCAUCCAGGGGAGCACACUACACCGCUCCCACAUGUUCCAUCAGCCUGGAAAACCGGGGCUGCCCCACCUGCCCGCCAAGCCUGGCUGUGCUGGGGACACAGGCAAGGCUGUGCAGGGCAGCUGAGCCCUCAGUGGGGAGCGCUGACGCACACCAUGGCACAAACUGGGAAAAGGCAGGGCGCGCUGGAGCCUGCAGCCCACGGCGGCCCACGGCCUGGCCCUAUGACGGCCUCGGGCCCACGCCAAGGGGCCAGGAGGUGUCUGGUCAGGGAGGAGUGCCAUGACGCCCGGGGCAGUCAUGCUGGGCAGACAGGAGCAGAAGCACGCUUACAAGCCUCACGUGGAAGCGGUUACAAUGCAAAGGGUCAGGAGGCACUAUAGGGGUUAGAUGGGUAGGCCCAGCACCCGGCGGCUGUGGGGAAGAGGGAGCAUGAUGAUCUUCCAGUGGACAUCAAAAUGUGGCUCAAAUAAAAGGCUAGGUGCCUAAGUUGUGCGUUUUUGCUUGGGCCACCAGCUGGGCAGGAGACAGCCCAGGGGGUGCCCUCAGGGGGUGCCCUCAGCCGGCCAGCUUCUGGGACCCACUCAGGAGGAGGAAGGCCUGGCUGCUCCCUCAGCCUCUUGGCUCCCUCUGCUGGCAGCUCUGCUGCACACAUUCCCGGGCCGGAGGGAUGAUUUUGGAAUGGUUCCGUGUUUGUCUGUCAGGCAGACAGAUGUAUGUGCGGUGAGCUGUUCUGUAAGCAGGAAGCCCAGUGACAGCCAAUGCUCCUGCCCCUUCUGCGCCCACCCCAGGUCCUCUCGGGCCUGCCCCGGCCUCUCCUGGGCAGAGCCUACAACUUGCCCUCAAGGUGCCAUCCAGCUGAAUUGUGCUUGUUCCCAGGGUAGGAGGUCCACGACCUCGGCCCACGUGGACCACCCACCCCACCAAGGCCAGGAGCAGUGAGGACCCUUACCAGGGAGCCCCUCCGG